UACUUUAACAAUGACUUAGGAUAAUGAUUUGUUAAAGUGUUAUAAAGCAUAUACAUGUAUGUUUUACAUUAAGUUUAUUAAACUAAUUAUCAGAAGAAUGUGGUAUAACAUGUGUUUAGUUUUUUUAUUGAUAUUUCAGAGUUUUCAUAUGUGAGGGAAUCUUGCUUAUGCUGGAAGUGAAGGCAGUGCGUAUGACCGCUUGAUACAAGAGACACAUUCUAUUUUUAAAGGUCAACAUACUGUAAGCUUCAUUCACUUUAAAGCAGAGGUUUCAUAUGUGAGGUAAUCUUGCUUAUGCUGGGAGUGAAGAGUGUGUAUGACCACUUGAUAUGAAAGACACAUCCUGUUUUUAAAGGUGGAUCAUGAGUGAAGCUCUGCAGGUCUGCCAUUGGCUUGAUAACAGUGGUUAUGUGAAUUGAGUGAAUUCAAUUAAUAAAUAAAUCUUUC